UUCCAGUGGCAUCCAGCCAGUACCCUCUCAUGAGGAAGAAUCAAUUUGCAAGGUAUUGAAUAAACCCUUGGGCUCUGCCUUGGAGAGGUGACCACCCAUGAAACCAACUGACAUGAAAGCACCGCAAGAUAAGCUAUCAUCUUAAUAAAUCUGAAGAGGGAGGGUACAAAAGCAGAGAGUGGCCAUGGAAGUAUUUCCAAUGUGGCUAUGGGGACAGACAGCUCCCAUUCAUCAGGACUGUUCUUUGCAUUGGUCUGACCUGACUUACUGGCUGAAUGCGGCUACUGCAUUUCUUGUCCUGUGGUGUUAAACUCAGUGCUAUGCCAUGUGAUCUUACUGGACACUGAACUACAUGAAAGCAAUCCGUAGUGGAUUCUGCCCAGUUCAAGUAAAUUCACCUGCUGUAUUGUUUACAGGAAGGUGCUAUGUGACAUGGAAGUCAUUCAAAGGUUAGGUGCGAGAGAGUUCCUGGAAGCUGAGGUUGUAGGAGUAACAUAUACAAACAGUAUAUUCCUCCAAAUACUACCAGUUUGAGGGUUGUACCUGUGCUUGUCAAGAUGGAAUAGCAUGAAAAGAGUUUGAAGAUUGGAAGCAUAUCUUAGUGCCUAUCCAUUAAAUUCCUGAGACGUGAGAACCAACUUUUUAAACUCUACUUUUAUGAACAUCAAGUCUG